UACUUCAACUAUCAGUUCAAUCUUGCAAUUUGACAUACUAUAUAUGCUUUUCAAUGCUUUGCAGGCAAGUUUCAGACAGAAAUUGAGAAGAGUUGGGCAACUGAGAUUAUUUCUAGAAUAAACUUGAGGUUGGGAAAUACUGUUCGAUAGUGAACUCUCGAUUCAAGUGCUUGUUUUCUCGUUCUCAACCGGUUAAGCUCUUUGUUGCAUCAUCACCCGACAGAACUUCCCUAGCACACUUUUGAAUUUGUCAAAUAUACAACGGUAUACAAUCAGUAAUGCACUAACCAUGUAAUUUUCUUGGAAUUGUACCCGACCCUUACAUGAUUCACCUUUUAUGGUAUAGAAAACCAACCAACUUUAGUGCCUUUGGUUUUCCUCUCUCUCCCCCCCUCUCUCUCUCUCUCUGUAUUUGUUCCUUUUUCCUGGGGGAUGUGUCAUGUGGCUAGUAGCAGUAACAGCAGUAUGUUGUGAGGCAGAGCUAUGGAAAGUAAUAUGUUGUGAGGAUGUUGCUUGUUAUAAACAGGGUUAUGAGCUAUUAGGUCAGAUGGAGCCAUAUAUCAACAAGAUUACUAGUACCGAUAAUAAAUGUUGCAGCGGUGG